rnacentral:rRNA from 1 species
UGGUACAGUAACGUCCUUGGUACACCCGAUCCCUCGAUCUCGGAAGUUAAGCAACGCGCGGUUCGGACAGUGCUUGGAUGGGGGACCAACCAAGGACGUCCGGAUUGCUGUAGCCU